CCCUUAGAUGUUCUGGGCCGCACGCGCGCUACACUGAUGCAUUCAACGAGUUUCUUCCUGGUCCGAGAGGAAUGGGUAACCUUUUGAAAGUGCAUCGUGAUAGGGAUAGACUAUUGCAAUUAUUGGUCUUCAACGAGGAAUUCCUAGUAGACGUAGUUCAUCAGACUGCAUCGAUUACGUCCCUGCCCUUUGUACACACCGCCCGUCGCUACUACCGAUUGAAUGGUUUAGUGAGGACUCCUGAUUGGCGCCGCCGCCCCGGCAACGGAGCAGCGGACUGCCGAAAAGUUGUUCAAACUUGAUCAUUUAGAGGAAGUAAAAGUCGUAACA
rnacentral:rRNA from 1 species